GACGAACGCUGGCGGUAUGCUUUACACAUGCAAGUCGAACGGUAACAGGUUAAGCUGACGAGUGGCGAACGGGUGAGUAAUGCAUCGGAACGUGCCCGAUCGUGGGGGAUAACGCAGCGAAAGCUGCGCUAAUACCGCAUAGGAUCUGAGGAUGAAAGCGGGGGACCGUAAGGCCUCGCGCGAUCGGAGCGGCCGAUGUCAGAUUAGGUAGUUGGUGGGGUAAAGGCUCACCAAGCCAACGAUCUGUAGCUGGUCUGAGAGGACGACCAGCCACACUGGGACUGAGACACGGCCCAGACUCCUACGGGAGGCAGCAGUGGGGAAUUUUGGACAAUGGGCGAAAGCCUGAUCCAGCAAUGCCGCGUGCAGGAAGAAGGCCUUCGGGUUGUAAACUGCUUUUGUACGGAGCGAAAAGGCCCUCUCUAAUACAGGGGGCUCAUGACGGUACCGUAAGAAUAAGCACCGGCUAACUACGUGCCAGCCGCCGCAGUAAGAC
rnacentral:rRNA from 1 species